AUGUUCAGGUGGCAUCCAUGUAUGAUACAGUUGACGAAGGGCCGUUGGCUCAACAGAAAUCAUACAAGUCUAGUUAUCAGAAGAAUACAUCUACUAGAACUGAGACCAGACCAAAUUUUGCUCCUGGAGAAUUGCGGAAAGCCAAACAGUUACAAGGAAUAUAGACAUGCUAAUGGUCUGUGUUACAGUUGUGGAGAAAAAUAUAUAUACGGGCAUGUAUGCAAGCAGGUUCCUGCUCCUACAGCUCAACUUAAGGCAGCUGAAGUGGUUGAUCCUCAUGAGAUAAUAUCUGAUGCUGUCUUAGAUGCUUUAGUGGACAAUUUUCAGGAAGAGUGUGCUACUAUCUCUGUGACAGCUUUGUCUGGAGCUUCACAUCCUAAAACUAUUCAACUCAGGGCUCUCAUGGGAAAUCAAGUGGUGCUGGUGCUCAUUGAUUCAGGCAGUACACACACCUUUGUGGAUCAGGCCCUGUUGAGCAGAGUGCCAGUUACUGCAGAAAAACUGACUCACCCCUUGCAAGUUAAAGUGGCCAAUGGAGACUUGGUAGCAUACACUGAAUUUGUGCCCAACUUAACCUGGUGGAUUCAGGGCCAUAAUUUCACAAGCUCUAUGGAAGUGUUACCACUGGCAGGACAUGACAUUAUUUUAGGGAUGGACUGGCUGGAACAGUGGGGUGUAAUGCAACGUCAUUGUGCUGAGAAGUGGAUUCAGUUUUUGUAUCAGAGGAAAGAAGGGAAGUUACAAGGGCUCUUACCUGCCAAGCAAGAGUCUAUCCAAGAAAUUUCUGUGGACCAGCUGCUGAAAUGGGAGAAGGGUAAUGAAAUCUGGGCCACAGCUGUGUUACAGCCCAUUACUGCUACUCCAGGUGCUCAAGUCCCAACUGAAGUACAGCAACUAUUGGAGACUAACAAAGCAGUGUUUGUUGAUCCCAAGACCCUGCCUCCCCAUAGAGUUUGA
rnacentral:rRNA from 1 species